ACUCCUGCGGGAGGCAGCAGUGGGGAAUUUUGGACAAUGGGCGAAAGCCUGAUCCAGCAAUGCCGCGUGUGUGAAGAAGGCCUUCGGGUUGUAAAGCACUUUUGUCCGGAAAGAAAUCCUUGGCUCUAAUACAGUCGGGGGAUGACGGUACCGGAAGAAUAAGCACCGGCUAACUACGUGCCAGCAGCCGCGGUAAUACGUAGGGUGCGAGCGUUAAUCGGAAUUACUGGGCGUAAAGCGUGCGCAGGCGGUUUGCUAAGACCGAUGUGAAAUCCCCGGGCUCAACCUGGGAACUGCAUUGGUGACUGGCAGGCUAGAGUAUGGCAGAGGGGGGUAGAAUUCCACGUGUAGCAGUGAAAUGCGUAGAGAUGUGGAGGAAUACCGAUGGCGAAGGCAGCCCCCUGGGCCAAUACUGACGCUCAUGCACGAAAGCGUGGGGAGCAAACAGGAUUAGAUACCCCUGUAGUCCCAUGA
rnacentral:rRNA from 1 species